UGCGCAGGCGGACCUAUCAGUCAGUGGUGAAAUCUCUCGGCUCAACCGGGAAACUGCCAUUGAUACUGUAGGUCUUGAGUUUGGUUGAAGUGGGCGGAAUGUAGCAUGUAGCGGUGGAAUGCAUAGAUAUGCUACAGAACACCGAUCGCGAAGGCAGCUCACUAAACCAAAACUGACGCUCAGGCACGAAAGCGUGGGUAGCGAACAGGAUUAGAUACCCUGGUAGUCC
rnacentral:rRNA from 1 species